GGCUCUCCAUCCACAGUGAUCUCUGCACAGAAGAAGCAGUAGCUGUUGUUGCUGUGCUCUCUGAAAAACCUGUCCCUGCUCUGAGGGCAGAGCCCUCCUGACACCCUGCAGCCCCCUGGGACGGAAAGGUGGGGUAAUGCCACAGGGCACAGUAGGCUGGGGAGAAAUGUGUGACAAUCCCGCACAAGAUAGAAGGAUGCCCUGAAGUGCAAUAGAGUGGGAAGUAUAUAAUUGCAGCUGAAGUGAGAAACUCAAAACAAGGUGGUGCUUGAAGUGGUGUCCAAGGCAGUGCUGCGUAUUAAUUUACAGACCGGCAGAGCCAUGCUCAUCGCCUGCCCUACCUUUGGAAGAGAAGACAAGCCAGCCACCUUCACCUCGGCAGCUGGGAAUAACAGACCUACCCCAAGCUCGUUCAAGAAGCGAUAACACUUCUCUUCCCCACUCACCUUCCCCCUCAGAUACUUGACGCUGUUACAAUUUUGAGGUAUCUGAAUUAAAAAAUUCUU